rnacentral:rRNA from 1 species
UACGUAGGGUGCGAGCGUUAAUCGGAAUUACUGGGCGUAAAGCGUGCGUAGUCGGUUAUCUAAGUCGGAUGUGAAAUCCCCGGGCUCAACCUGGGAAUUGCAUUCGAAACUGAAUAGCUAGAGUUCGGCAGAGGGAAGUGGAAUUUCCGGUGUAGCGGUGAAAUGCGUAGAUAUCGGAAGGAACAUCAGUGGCGAAAGCGACUUCCUGGACCAGAACUGACGAUCAGGCACGAAAGCGUGGGGAGCAAACAGG